rnacentral:rRNA from 1 species
GUCUAUGGCCAUGCGACCCUGAGCAUGCCCAAUCUUGUCUGAUCUCGGAAGCUAAGCAUGGUCAAGCCUGGUUAGUACUUGGAUGGGAGACUACCUAGGAAUACCAGGUGCUGUAGGUG